UUUUGGAUGAACACUUUUCAUACUGCACCUUUACUUUCGCAACUCUCUUUUCGAUGCCACAAGGGUGUUCGCAGGUCGAGCUUCCGCUGCUCCAGGGUCGCAGAGCCCUUUGGCUGAUCGCGGCGACUCCGGAGUAAUUCCCACUUCCGAGAGGUCCGCCUCUUAUUUUAGGAUCCGAGUUCCAUAGGCUGACCAGACUGCGUGCCGCACUCCGAUUGGACCAAACAACUGCUCGUCAAGCAUCCACCACCCCAUCGAGUCUUUCUUGGAGAUUAAAGAAGAAUGAAGUUACCUCAUCUCUGGGGCAGCAUGCUUAUUGGACCAGCACGAGGAGUAUCCUUUAGAGUUUAGGCUGAAAAUGUCCUCAGGUGAGAAGAGAAAAAAGCUGGAGCUUUCGUGGACCCAGAGAGACGUCUCUAGUAGAUGCCUAGGUAAGAUUUGGACUGGACUGGAGGAAGGCGACAGUCUACCCGGAUUGGGCCACAAGAAGGAAUGCCCGCCCUUUCUGCGCUCGGAUUGGCUGAGUGCGAGCCGCGCCUCCCUCACGCCCACUGCCCGGAUGAGAGACAAGUGCUGCUCUCGCCUGGCUUCCGACUUCCAGUAGGUUGCUCAGGAGAGUAUAAAAGGGUGCGCUGGGCUCCAGACUUGAUCCGAAGUUGAUCCUGGAGAGGCGUGCUCCAUCGCAACGUGUGCUUUCCAGGGAACCCAACUGCAACAUCUCAUUACGGACAACCAUGGAAGCAGCUAAGAAGAGACGAGCUGAAGUAUGGAAACUGAUGGAGAUGAAGGGCAACGGAGAGCUCUUCCUCCUGGUAAGAUCUGGUAAGCUGUUUGACUUUUUAAAGCGCAAUCAUGUAUUUUUUUUAUAAAAACAUAAGCAUGCAUGAUGUUAAAAAUGCAAAAGGAUUUUUAAUGAUUACACUAAAGAAGCACUAUAAUUUUGAAUCCAAGUUAUUGUCACUUGCAAAUCUUCAAAAACAAAGUCCAGAAAAACUACUGAUAAACUAAAAUCCAAGACUUCUUACUAUGUUAUAUUCAAGCUAUGACAUAUUCCUUCUAUUUUCAUUUGAUUUUCUUUCUGAGAUACAUAAAUGUGUUCACCCACACACACCCAUAAUGCACCGACACUUGAUUUCUGAACUUUUUCCUCCUGGUUAUCACUCUAUCAUUCAGACAUUGAAGAACUGAAGAAUAUAUUGAAGGCAUCUCAUUUAGCUGAUAUGUGAGUUUGAAAAGCAAACAUCAGCUGGACGAACAUUGAUGCAGAAUGUGUCCAAUUCAUUCUUCUAUCAGGUGGGAAUAUUUGAUGACUCAUGCAAUCUCUGGUAGAUUUCACAAAACUCAUACAAAGUGCUUUACUUAGAAUUGUUUUUCCUGGAACCAAGGACCAUGAACUUAUUAAACAGUUUUCAACAAACCAAUCUACCAAAGAGGAUGAUUGAUCAAAUGCAGGCUGAUAUUCACAUAAUUUGGACAGUGGAUAGUAUCUAAAUCUACAAGUCAUUUUGGACAAGGAGAUAAUCAAGAUGGUUUAGAUUUUUUUCAUACCACUAAGUAUUGGUCAAAAUUUCAGAUUUUGGAAAUGCUAAGAUUAAGAUGCAGAGUAAAAACAGACACUGAAGUCACAGCUUCAUCAUGCACACACACACAUGUGUUGUUAUUGCCACUUAGGAAGAUCACUUACGUGCAUUAUAUGCUUUUCAUCUGUUAAACCAAGCUGUCUGUCUGUCUGUCUGUCUGAACAGGACGCCAGCACUCUCCGAUCUCAUAAAGGAAUUGUGUGACUCUGUUAUACUGAAAGACUACACCAUCUAAUGGAAGAUAGUUUUAAGUGGUAACUUCUCUAUGGUGUUCUCUGGUUACUCAUUAUUGCGUUUUUGAUUGUUUGUUUGUUGCUUUUAAGCUAUGUCUGAAGAAUGUACUAAGUAUGGUUUAAAGCACAAUUCUUGGAAGUGGAUAAAAAUGAAGCUGUAGUCUAGAGUGGAUGAGGACCAUUUCAACAAAAUGAACACAUCGCUCCCACUGAUAACCCCGACUCCUGCAGGAGCUCUUGCUGGAGCAGUCAUAUGUCCACGCCAAAGGAAACUGAAAAUGACAUUUUCUCAGCUGUAUUCAGAAUUCCAUAGGGCUUGUAACUGGACAUUUCAGGUCUAAUUAAUAUUCAUUUUUACAGUUUUGCAAUCAUUCCUUGAAUAUGGUGUUCCAAUGAGACUGUCAAUUAUUUAUACUGAAAAUUUCCAAGAAUGCCAAUAAUCCAGAAAGAUCCUAUAAGACAACCCAGUAGACACAGUCAGUUGACCUCACAACUCAGUGCCUGGCACUUGCGAAGUGAGUAGGCUCCUCAGAGACAUUUAUAUAAAAUUAAAUAUUCACAGUUACCAGCAAUACGAUGAGAAACCUAGGUGAACCCAUCCACGCUUCUCAUUACCUCCAGUUACUGCCGAGUAACAUUUGAUUACGUUAGUCAGGGGCUCCUGCCCAUCCACUGCUCCGAAUGAUCAGCAAUGAAGUCACAAAGAGGGACCCAGGUGACACAGCUAAGGACAAGAAAGAAAUUUUGAAAGAUUCAUAAAUAUUUUAUGCCUGAACAUGGUGCUGGAAGUGAAUGGAAUCUCUAUCAUUUUCAAAUUGAACCAUGAAUCAGAAAUUAAGACUCUAGAAAAAAAUGAGAAUGAGAACUCAAAACAGAAUCAACUUUAAGAGGCCAUCUUGAGAAAGCAGCAUAGUAACAAAAUCAGAAGUUUCCCCAAUCCAAUGGACUGGUGAGGUUAUGAGUGGGUAGAGGCAAAGGUUUAAAUCACCUGCAAUGAAUGUGUCCUUUCCCUUGAUGUGGCAUCAGUGCCAGCCGGGGCCACACAGCUGGAUUCGGUCACAUGCCCAGGAAUGGUGACAGGUGCUGGGUGGCUGGGGCGGAGGGCAGCCUUCAGAGGGGCCACGUGGCUGAGCUGUACUGCAGACAGCAUCCCGUGAAGCCCUGUGCUCCUGCCAGUGCUGUGUCCACAUAGCUGUGCUCUGCAAACCCUGAGAAACACAGUAGUCAUCACCAUGGUGAAAGCACAGACAACCAGUGACACCACAUGGAGUAUUCCAAGUCUGCUCAUGCAGUGGCCAUAAAUAUACAACUGAUAAAUAACUCUCUGCCUUUAGUAAAAAAUCCAAUCUAAGGCUUUCCACAACUAGCGCUGAGAUUGCCUAGGUUAACUAAAACAAUUUGUUAGAAUGGUUAAUUGAAAGUGACACAGGGAUCUCUCUGGAAAUGACGAAAGCCUCCAUAAGAAUGGGUCAGGCUAUGAACUGAUAGAGGUCAUAAUAUUUCAAAUUUUAAAACAUCAUUAAAAUGUAUUUAUGAGAGAGCUUGGAGUCAGUAUCAGGAGGUGUGUGUCCUGGAUUUAGAAAUGAGUUCUGCUCAGAUUUUAAGACUUAACCCAUAAAAAUAACAGAAGCUAGAGGCAAAAUUGAUCCUGUAGAGUCACCUUAACAAUUAUCCAAUCUAAAGACUUGGUCCUGCUAAAAGCUUUCUGAUACUUUACAAUCCCACCUAAACCUGCCAGCUGACACAGCAUCCUGCUGUCAGGUAAGAAGCCAUGCUCCACAGCCACCGGCAUGUCUCCUUAAUGACCAGGGUCAGCACAGGAAAUGUCUAUGAUCCAUUUGUCUCCCUUCCUAGUUUAAUUACAACCUGUACUUAGAAAUAUGCUGUGCCUUUCAGAUAGACAACUCCUGCUCCCAUGAGUUUAGUUAGUGUUGGAACAGAGACUGGUUUGAAUGCCAGAAUAUUAAAUUCAUUAUAUCCUAACAAAUAAGGAACCCUCCAUACUAGUUGUUUACCAAGAAUAAAAUCUGUUGUACGUUCAAGUGUUGUCAGACUACUGUCCAAGUACAGUCACAGAAUAGCACAAUUACUCUCCCUUUACCUAUAUGGGCAUAGAUGAAAUUUUUAUUUUGUCUCUUGUUUUAAAAAGAUAGUAAGUGUUAAAUAUUUACUGACUUCACCUUGUGUGCUAGGCACUGUCCUAAGGGAUUUGAAUGUUACUUUUCUCAAUGAAUAGGAGCCACAUGAACUUCUUAUUCCAGUCAUGCAAAUACGAAACAGGUUCAGGAGUUCAGUGAUUUUCCUGAGAUCAUGCAGUUGUUGAAAUUAUUUACAGGACCCGAAUCCUGUUGGGCACCAAGUCCCGAGGUUCUUUUGUUUAUGAACUGUUUUAGGCUGGAGAUAUUCUUCCCUUCACCGUGGUUGUAUCCUCAGCAGCAUCUUGUUUUGUUUCUGUCUGAGGUGCUCUGUUUUGUGUGCUGCUCACCUGAGUGCUAUGUUUUAAGUAAUCCUGAGCAUCAUAAAUCUGAGGCAGCCUGGCUGUUCUUGUUGUACUUAGGCAUUUGAAGAAUAUUUCUUUGACUCCAUUUUCUUUCACAUUUUAUACCUAAUAAUAAAAAUGCUGGCCGGAAUUUCUUUAAAAAGAAUCCCGAAAUUUGGAGAGAUGGCAUCACCUUCUGUGGGGGCAACUAUUUCAAGAGUUCAAUGUAUUGUUGCUAAUUAGGCUGCAGUAAGGACUUCUGUUCAUUAACCUUGGAAAUCUCAACACUGGUUGUAGAAUGGCUUAAUGGAUUUCUUCCAAUAAAAGCAGAACAAAAAAAGGAAUUACUAGCUUCAUGUUCAUUGCAUUAAGUGAACAGACUCAGACAUAUUCUGGCCCGGGUGCUCAGACUCUGUGGACCAUGCCUGCCCUCCUGAGUGCCCCUGUCUCUCUACACGAGGAGAGCACAGGAGAGCAUCUCUCCGAGCUCACAUACACUGCACUGUGGGAUCCUCUGGCACACAGCUGACCUUCAACACCCAGAAUCCUGCUAAGCAGCCUCACAGAAGCAACUUUGUCACCGUGCUGAAAACAAAGAAAUAACUGUCCACUGCCACAGCAGCCUCGUGCAUGCACAGUCAGCCUUCCAUACCUUGGAUCCCACCCACCAAUUCAGUUCGGGAUCAAAUAUUGGGAUCAAAGAUUGUUUUUAAAUAAAUGACGUCAACACCAAA